rnacentral:rRNA from 1 species
GCUCAGCGCGUAGCCUGCGGGACCUGCGUCGAAAGGCGUGACGGUACCGUCAGGGAUGCCGCGUAUGGGAGGAUCUCUUUGAGACCUCGGACUUUGCCUAAGUAAUUAUUGAAUCUAGUUUCCAAAGAGGGUGUAAGGCCCGUACGGCAUCGUUCGGGGAAUCUUUCGGGUUCCUCUCGAGAGUCGGGUUGCUUGAGAGUGCAGCCCUAAGCAGGUGGUAAACUCCAUCUAAGGCUAAAUACGACCACGAGACCGAUAGUAAACAAGUACCGCGAGGGAAAGUUGAAAAGAACUUUGAAGAAAGAGUUCAAGAGAACGUGAAACUACCACGAGGUUAAAGCGGAUGUACAUUCGUGGCUGAACGGGGGGUCUCAUCUCCUCGAACCUCUAGGCGUCGUCGCGUUCGGACCGUCUUCGUCCUGCCUCGCGAGGGGCGGGCUCCGGAGCUGGCCGUCGCGGCGUCGGACUCGGGGGAAAGGGGGGUGGAUUUCCUCCCUUAGUACGCAGUCGCGGCCGCUCGUCGGUCGUCUAAGGCUCGGAAGUUGGGAACAGUCCGGCGCUCACGCGCCGGCUGGGACGCUACCUUGAUUCUGGCGGACCUUCGGGCGGUUUAACGGACGAGACGGGGAUUUUAAACGCCUCGCCUCGUACGCGGCCGAAUGAGCGAUCGUUCAUCCGUCCCGUCUUGAAACACGGACCAAGGAGUCUAACAUGUGCGCGAGUCAAAGGGCUGGCUAAACCCCUAGGCGCAACGAAAGCGAAAAAGGCCUCUUCGGAGGCCGUUGGGUCGAUCCGUGCUCCCUUUAGUGGACCGGCGCAGACCCGGGGCUCGCCGUUACCUCUUCGUUCCCUCGCAAGGGGGUUCGCGGCGGGCGGCGGGCACCUUGAGCGUACAUGCUAGUACCCGAAAGAUGGUGAUCUAUGCCUGGCCAGGACGAAGCCAGAGGAAACUCUGGUGGAGGUCCGUAGCGAUUCUGACGUGCAAAUCGAU